UACGGAGGGUGCAAGCGUUAUCCGGAAUUAUUGGGUUUAAAGGGUCCGUAGGCGGUUUAAUAAGUCAGUGGUGAAACCCUAUAGCUUAACUAUAGACGUGCCAUUGAUACUGUUAGACUUGAGUUAUGUUGAAGCAAAUAGAAUGUGUAGAGUAGCGGUGAAAUGCAUAGAUAUUACACAGAAUACCGAUUGCGAAAGCAGUUUGCUAAGCAUAUACUGACGCUGAUGGACGAAAGCGUGGGUAGCGAACAGGAUUAGAUACCCUGGUAGUCCACGCUGUAAACGAUGGACACUAGCUGUUGAGAAAUUUUCAGUGGCUAAGCGAAAGCGAUAAGUGUCCCACCUGGGGAGUACGAUCGCAAGAUUG
rnacentral:rRNA from 1 species